GGAUCCUGGUGGCCUGAGACCCUGCAGACUGCAGACAUGGUGCAUGCUGGGAUUGCAUCGUCGGCAGCUCCACGGACGCUGGGGCCCGAAUCACCCAGGAGCCGGGUGAGACCACGACCUCCCGGCCUCGUCACGGAGGCCUUGGCCUUUCCUCCCGAGGACCUGGCCUCCUGCACCCCUCCUUUUCCAGAGGAUGAAAAUGUCCUGUAAUACCCAGUGGCUGCGCAGCUGUGAAUAUAUUGAAACUUAAAAAACAAUGUAUUUGAGAAGUGGAGAGAAACAGAGACAGAGUGACAUUUUCCACCUGCUGUUUCACUCCCCCAGAUGUCUGUGAGGGCCAGGGCUGGGCUGGGCGGAAGCCAGGAGCCAGGAUCUCCAUCCAAGCCUCGCGUGGCAGCAGCCCCUGGCUCCCCUGGGCACUGACCCGGCCCCGCUGGGUUCAUCAGGAGCCGCCCAUCCCCUUUCCUGGAACUCAAAGAAGCAGCAGAAACGAUGGGAUGCGCUCGGCUUGUUGGCUUCUCUACUGCUUGGCAGCUGCUGACGGCCACUCCCGCUCUGGGGACCUUUGCAGUGACCUGGCCCCUGGCCAUCCCUCCACUGCCCGGCAGCGAGCCAAAGGCCCCAACUGGUGCGACGUUUACUGCAGGGGCUGAGCCCAAAGACCCAAAAGAGGAGGGAGGAGCCUGCUGCCGCCGUGCUCCGUCAGCUCCUCAGGGAGGAGGGAGCCGGGAGAGCCGGGGAGCACCUGUUCUCCCAGCCAUCCCCGGGAUCCCCAGGUCCCACAGAAGGGCUGUGUCCUGGAGAGAGGUCUGCUGGGAUCACAUGACGCUCUGAAAACCAACCAUCCCGAGGGCCGCCUGCGAAUCCUGCCAGCGGUCUCACAGGUGGAGGUGUGAGUGACUGAGAGAUCAUGGGGAAGGCGGCAAAAAGUCAGGAAAUGGACAAGCAAGGGAAAAGAAUUUGCAACCCACAUCACACAGAGCUCAUCACCCUCAUAUACAAGUGGCUCCUGAAAUCAACAAGACCAGCAAUUCAGGCACUUGGAGCUUUCCCAGGAAGCCUGCAGGCAGACACCAGGACCGAUCGCUUCUUGAAGACAAACCAACCCCACUCGGUGGAAACCGCCCGCUGCAAUCGGCCUCGACUGAGGUUUCAGCCUUCUCGGCAGCACGUGGCCACCGAGCACAUCACUCCCAUGUUUCUUGUCCUCUCCUUGUUCGCAGCACUCCCACCAGGUUCUGAGGAUCAGAACUCCCAUCAGGGCUAAGGCCUAAAGACCUGGACAGGCUGCAUCUGACCGAGCAGGGUGCUCGCCUGGGCCACACACGACCUUGGCACAGAGACGCCAAGCACAGGAUGACUGGCCAAACAGCAACCUUG
rnacentral:lncRNA from 1 species